UCUCUUCUUUCUUCUUCGUCCAAAAUUGAAUAACAGAGAAACUCAAAUACAAGCAGUAAUCAGUUUAAUACUUAGGGUUUCGAUUGAAAAUUUCUCUUCUUUCUUCGUCGUCUCUAAAUCGAACAAAGAAAACCCCAAAAUCAAUAAUCCUUUUCUUUUAUUUCUUCGUCGUCCCUAAAUCGAACAACACAGAAAACCUCAAUAUCAAUAAUCAGUACAAUACAUAGAGCUUCAAUUGAUUGAAAUCUUGGUUUAAAUAUUUUACACCCAACCUAAACUUAAUACUUGGGGUUCAAUUGAAACUCGGUAACCCGGUUUAUGGAAAUUCCAGUGGUUUGAAGAUUUGUUCUAUUUUGUAAAAGGAAUUUGGUGUUAAUAUGGAGCAACGAUUUUUUGCUAUAUGGACCACCGGACAACCAACUUCACUAUGGACACUUGCAUGACGUCUUAUACUUGAAAUGGUUUUGCAGAUGUUAGAAACUUGAGCAAUACAACUAAAAAAAGGACUGAGGAUGGGAAAGCUUAGGCAAGCAACAUACACCGGCACAUGCAUUGUAUUCUCUCGCACAGGUAGUUGCAUGAUUGCAGGUACGAUGUUGCUAUGAACAUAAAUAGUCGAGGACCUUUUCGACUUAUGACCUUGGCAACAAGGUGCAAGAAACUUCAACUGUUUUUGCAAGUAUCAACUGCCUAUGUUAACGGACAAAGACAAGGUAGAAUCUUGGAAAAACUAUUUUCUAUCGGGUAUAGCAUAGCAAGGGAACAACUCUAAUUUUAUACGCAUGCAAGAGCUCCACCCUUGCUAGAUAUUGAAGCUGAAAUGAAGUUGGCUUUGGAUUCAAAAGAGACUUUGGUUUAGAAAGGUAAUACGGGUUAUCUUUUCUACUUCUCUAUUUACAAUAUUUCAUUUCGAUAUAUGAAUAUUUAUAUUUAUAUAUCUGAAAGGUAACCUGUUUUCAUGGUGUAAUUUUUUUGUUUUUCUCUUGCUCGGUUCAGUCUAUUAAUUCAUAUGAAUAUUUAUGGUUGGGUAUUUGGGUUGCAAGAAAAA